rnacentral:lncRNA from 1 species
UCACUACUUUCUAUGUAUUUUUUAAUUUUUAAAAAAUCAAAGUUAAUUUGAUAAUCAUGGUAUCCUAGCGACAACAUCGCGAGCCUAUCAGGUACUUCCGAUGAUGUUGAGUGGCACAAGACUAAUUGCAUCAUUUUCAAUGCUUGGAUGAGAGAGGGAGCUUCGGUCAUCGAUCAUGUGUUGUACAUGACCGAACAGAUCGAGUAACUGAGCAAGCUCGACUUCUCCUUACACGAACAGCUGAGAAAAGAUGCGAUCUUGAACUCUC